CGUCUUGCGACUAAUUAAAGUUUGUAGAAUAUUUAUUUAGUUAAAUAGUGAAUAAGUUAUAUCACGAUUUAUGAGGCCCGUCCGAUUGAAAGGCGAUACGGGUCGUGCGAAGGAUAGGUAACCUAAAACCGCUUCCAAAAUGGGACCGGCUCGAUACAUCAACCAUCUGCGGCUGCUGCGGGUGGAGCAUACAACCUACAGUGGAUGUCCAGCAUGUUACAGUAGCUGCUGUAGUAAAUAGAAUCUUUGGCUUUGCAUCGGACAGUUUGGCGUUGCAGCAGCACCCCGUUAUUCAUCCAGGUGAAAGCUCACAUAAACUGUUGAGCCGCGAAUGAAUUGCUUACUUUUAAACAAACGGCGCAGUCUGGACCGAUUCUUCGAUGUAAAAAAACAAGAGCAGUUAGCUUGCCUCGCCUUAUGGGAAUGGGACUGCAGUGCUAAACUCCCGGAAAUAAACCGAAAAAAGCGACUGACAUAUCUUGGUUUAGUAGGCUAUGGUAUGGCCGGAAUCUAUGUUGACGAUCGUAUUCUACCGAAAUUUAUCGGAAACAUUAUUUCAAAACCGUUUGGCAAAGACAUCUCUCGGAAUAGUAGAAACUAGGACAUGACCGGUAGCGCAAACUCUGUUGAGAACCUGGCGAGCAUGCGAAAAAUAAAUGGGAACAGUGACAUCUGGAUCGCAAGAGUAAGCCAUCAGCAGGGUCUAUACGAUCGUACACGACCAAUACAUCAACCACCACCAGCUAAAUGGAUUCGGCAUUCUCCAACCUACGAGUCAGAAAAGGGUCCAUCGCCUAAGCCCAGAGAAUCGUUUGUGUAUAAUAGCGCUAGCUGGAGCUUCCAGCGCUAGCUGUAACCGAUCGCCUUGUAGAAAGAUGUAAGCUAUAUGCUAUUGGAGCUUCGACACGUGUCAAAAUUCAAGGUUAAGUGGAACCACAUAGACCAAACAAUAUCCAUCCAUCCGGCUUGAAGGAAUCUAUUAUUGAAUGCAGUAGGGAAUGAUUAGGAAAAAUAGUCUACUAGAUUUGAGCAACAAGAAAAAUAUGCGCAUAACAAAGAACAGAAGAAACGAAGGCUCCUCCGCAAGCUCGAUAUUCUAUUGACCAAUUGUUCCUGUCUUUGAGAGUACGUGUGCGUGAAAAAUAUUACCAAUGUGAAGGUAAUCUGCGACAUCCUGAUUUACAGGAUUGAAUCGAAUGGGAAGAAUGAUGGCAGAAUCACUCAGAACUCUACUAACUAAACCACCAAUAGUGAUUUAUGAAAACAACACAACCAUAUGCAGAACUCUUAACCCCCGGAGGCACAGAAGGAAAAAUCUAAAACGAUGCCGAAAGCACUGUCUCAUAUCACGAUGUUAGAAACGAACAUUCAUCGAAACUCUAAAGGGGAAAGGCAUCACUGAUCGUCCUUGGAGCUCAUCAAGAACUUUAUAUCGGUUUACUACAAAUAUAUCGCCAGUGCACUUUGACUUCAAUCAUAGACCAAUCAUUCAAUCAUAGGCCUAAUAAUCAAUCAGACCAAUCAAUCAAUUAUAGACAAUCAAUCAUAGACGAAACAAUCAAUCAUAGACCAAUAAAUUAUUAAUAAACCAAUCAAUCAAUCCCGUGAUGAACUUAUUUUUAAGAUACAAAAUCUCGUUAAUAAAGUAUUAAAAAACUCAAUCAAUCAUGGAUCAAUCAACUAUAGGCCAACCAAUAUCAAUCAUAGGGCGAUCAAUUAAUAAUAAACCAGUCAAUCAAUCAUAUACCAAUCAAUUAAUCAUAGGCCAAUCAAUCAAUCAGGUCAAGCAAUCAAUCAUAGAUCAAUCAAUCAGUCAUAAACCAAUCAAUUAAUCAUAGGCCAAUCAAUAAGUCAUAGGCCAAUCAAUUAAUCAUAGGCCAAUCAAUUAAUCAUAGGCCAAUCAAUCAAUCAUAGACCAAUAAAUCAAUCAUAGGCCAAUCAAUAUCAAUCAUAGAUCAAGCAGGGAGCCCUUCUUAGCCGUGCGGUAAGAUGCGCGGCUACCAAGCAGUACCAUGCUGUGGGUGGCUGGGUUCGAUUCCCGUCGCCGGUCUAGGCAAUUUUCGGUUUGGAAAUUGUCUCGACUUCCCUGGGCAUAAAAGUAUCAUCGUGUUAGCCUCAUGAUAUAUAAAUGCAGAAAUGGUAACUUGGCUUAGAAACCUCGCAGUUAAUAACUGUGGAAGUGAAUGAUCACUAAACUACGAUACGACAAUGCCUCAGUGAGGGAAUUAAUGCCAAUGAAGAAGAAGAAGAAGAAGAUUAAGCAAUGAAUCAUUUUAGUUCUUUAUUUAAGUGAUUUUUUAAUGUGAAAUUAAGUUCAUCACUGCAAUCAAUCAUAGGCCAAUGAAUUAAUCAUAGACCAAUCAAUCAGUCAUAAACCAAUCAAUCAAUCACAGAUCAAUCAAUCAAUCAUAGGACAAUCAAUCAAUCAUAGACCAAUCAAUCAAUCAUAGACCAAUCAAUUAUUCAUAGGCCAAUCAAUAAGUCAUAGACCAAUCAAAUAAUCAUAGGCCAAUCAAUCAAUUGUAGAUCAAUCAAUCAAUCAUAGCCCAAUCAAUUAAUCAUAAGCCAAUCAAUAAAUCAUAAACCAAUCAAUCAAUCAUAGACCAAUCAAUUAAUCAUAGGCCAAUCAAUCAAUCAUGGACCAUACAAUCAAUUAAUCAUAAGCCAAUCAAUAAAUCAUAAACCAAUCAAUCAAUCAUAGACCAAUCAAUUAAUCAUAGGCCAAUCAAUCAAUCAUAGACCAAGCAAUAAUGGGCCAACCAAUCAAUCAUAGGUCAAUCAAUCAGUCAUAGGCCAAUAAAUCAGUCAUGAAUCAAUCAAUCAUAGGGCAAUCAUAGGCAAAUCAAUCAAUCAUAAACCGAUCAAUCAAUCAAUCAAUCAUAGGCCAAUCAAUCAAUCAAUGAUAGACCAGUCAAUCGAUUAUAGGCCAAUAUAUUAUAGACCUAUCAAUCAAUCAUAGAUCAAUCAAUUAACCAUAGGACAAUCAAUCAAUCAUAGGCCAAUCAAUUAAUCAUAGACCAAUAGAUUCGUCGAUUGAUAUUUAUAUUACACUAUGGAUCUCCGGCUCCUCUAUCAAAAGUGCGUUUCGAAGUGAGUUGACACCGUAUUAUGUAUGAAAUAUAUAUUGAUUUGAAAUAAAAUAAAGUGAUUUUAAGAUAAAUCUAAAUUAAUCUUCUUCAUCUUAUUGGCAUUACAUACCCACACUGGGACAGAGCCGCCUCACAGCUUAGUGUUUAUUAAGCACUUCCACAGUUAUUAACUGGGAGGUUUCUAAGCCAUGUUACCAUUUUUGCAUACGUAUAUCAUGAGGCUAGCACGAUGAUACUUUUAUGCCCAGGGAAGUCGAGACAAUCUAAAUUAAAUUGAAGUUAAAAAGUUAAAAUGAAACGAACUUUUCACUUUCGGACUACACACAUGGACUACAUUCAAACACAAAUGCAAACUACUAAAACUAAACCAAUUUCAAUGAAACUUCAUAAAAUUUUCGUAUUGCUAAGUAACAAAUUUAAGA